rnacentral:rRNA from 1 species
UAGGGAAUCUUCCGCAAUGGGCGAAAGCCUGACGGAGCAACGCCGCGUGAGUGAUGAAGGUCUUCGGAUCGUAAAACUCUGUUAUUAGGGAAGAACAAAUGUGUAAGUAACUAUGCACGUCUUGACGGUACCUAAUCAGAAAGCCACGGCUAACUACGUGCCAGCAGCCGCGGUAAUACGUAGGUGGCAAGCGUUAUCCGGAAUUAUUGGGCGUAAAGCGCGCGUAGGCGGUUUUUUAAGUCUGAUGUGAAAGCCCACGGCUCAACCGUGGGGGGUCGUUGGAAACUGGAAAACUUGAGUGCCGAAGAUGAAAGUGGAAUUCCAUGUGUAGCGGUGAAAUACGAAGAGAUAUGGAGAAACACCAGUGGCGAAGGCGACUUUCUGGUCUGUAAAUUAAGCUGAUGUGCGAAAGCGUGGGGAUCAAACAGG